rnacentral:rRNA from 1 species
CCUACGGGAGGCAGCAGUGGGGAAUAUUGGGCAAUGGAGGAAACUCUGACCCAGCGACGCCGCGUGCGGGAUGAAGGCCUUCGGGUUGUAAACCGCUUUCAGCAGGGAAGAAGCGAAAGUGACGGUACCUGCAGAAGAAGCACCGGCUAACUAUGUGCCAGCAGCCGCGGUAAUAAU